UUCUUUUAUUCUUGUUUGAGCCUCUAUUCUUCUUUGCCACCUCCUCUGCUCUUUUCUGUUUAACACCCUUGGAAAUCUCAAGACCCUACUGUUUGAGAUGUGAUUGCUGUGGAAUGUGUUAUUACCGUCUCUCACCCAGACCAUUGUAAUAACCUCCUAAAUAAUCUCCGCUCCUUUCUCUCCCUUUGGAGAGGAAACAAUAUUAUUAUUUUGUAUUAUUAUUCAAAAUCUUUGUAUGUCUUUGUUAGGGUUUCCCUCCUCCCUGUGGGAGAAUUGUGCUCUUGUCUUUUGAUGUCGGACUUGACCCCAUGAUUUCCUCUGGUCAAUGAAAUGUAAUUAGAAGUAACUCAGGGCACUUGUGAGCAGAAGGUUUAAGAGGCAGCACCUGGUUCACUCUGUCUUUUUCCCUUCGCUAUGAGACUGGCAAGGUUCCAGAUAGCAACUGUUCUAGCAGCCAGGGUCCUGGAGAGAAGUCAACAUGAAGCAGAGCCACAGAUACGCCACAGAUAAGCUUAUGUAAUGAAGACACUUUCGGGAACUUUAAAAGAUGCCUACCACCAUUUGUCUCUCAUGAAGAUGUGAACUGCGACUGGAAACAGCUCAGUCUCUCACAGGGAAAGCACAAUGACACAGAAGGAAAUAUAGAAGUCCCCAAAUUAGGAAUCUUGGAUUUUAGACCCAGUGUUCCCUUAACUGCUUAAAGUGUGACCUCAAAUAGGAUCUCGCUGAUGCCCUGGAUACUGCCACAAGGGAUUCGCGUGGGCUGGAGUGCAGUAGCACCAUCACAGCUCACUGCAGCUGCAGGAUCACAGUUCAUUGCCCCUUCAACUUCCUGGCCUCAAGCCAUCCUUCUGCCUUGGCCUCCUGAGUAGCUUGGACUACUGGUGCUAGCCACCAUGCCCAGGAGGAUGAAAUUUAACCACAUCAAAGAAACCUACAGCUCUGAUACUCUCAGAAAAAAUAAGACUCAACACAAAGAGAGUAAAAAGAGUUAUUCUGUCAACGAAGGGUCUUGACCGAAUAAUGUAUACAUCAGAUCUUUUCAUCUUGCACUUCUUGGACACUGUGAUUCAAAAGGGAGAUUAUUUGUGUCAGUAAAGAAGUAUCCAUAAUGAUAAAACACAAGUACUUCAAAGAACAACCUGUGCUUCUCAAAAGGAAAAUAGUUUGGAUCCAUUUACUUUUCUCCUCUACUUCACAUUCUAAAUGACUGAGAAAAUGUCUUCUCGUUUUCAAUACAACCCAUGGGAAAUCAUACUCAAAUAAGUAGUAACUGAAUGAACUAAUCUGGAAAAGUGGUCCUCAAUUUGUUUCUGUAAUAUCAGCUAUCACAAUACUGCCUUGAUAUUUCAUACAAUUCUGCAGAGUAUAAAAAAGCAAAAGCCUCUAAAAGUUGGUACUAGAAUGUACUACACGCUCAAUAUAGACCACAAAAUGGAUCAGACAUGAAGCUUAGUAUUGUCUGUGUGCACAGUGUUUAAAUAUUCCCUUGUUUUAAAAGUGCCAGUGUUUGUUAAGUAACUUAAAAUAUUUGCCACAUGUAGCUUAUUUUUUUUACUUUUUAUUAUAUUUUUGUCAUAGGUAAAAAAGUGAAAAGAUUUAUGACAGUCAUUUUUUUAAAACUAAGUUAAGCUAUAUAAAUUGUUGUGAAAUAAAAUACAUUUUAAUUAUAUACAAUAAAGAUCCUAAUUUUAAUUUGCAAGUAUUUUCAAGAUUACAAGUAACGUUAUCAAUUGUUUUACUUAUAACAAUAUUCCUAGGGUGUCUACAUUUAAUAAUUCUAAGUUUUUAAAACAAUUUUAAACUAUUUCAUUUAACAGACAAUACAAACUAACUAAGAUAAAUUGAGAAAUAUAAAUAUCCCUCACCUGUGUUUUUAAAAUUAGAGACAACUUUUGUAUCAUUCCAGAUAUAAUUUAUACCUAUAUAAAUGUGUUUAUUUUAAAUGUGCCAUUUAAAAGAACUGGUUUAUGCUUUGAAAUGGCUGCAUAAUAUUCUACUCUACCUAGAUACCAUUAAAUAUUGAAUCAGCUCUCUAUUGUGUGUUUUUUGCUGUUGUUACUGACAGAUUUUGUAAUUACAAUGCAGAUUAAAAACUUGUUUUAAAAAAUGUGAUUUUGCUCAUAGACAUAUGUCUUUAGAAUACAUUCGUCAUAGUACAAUUGCUGAGACAAAGAGUUUACGCAUUUGGAAAUUUUAUAAAUAUUAUCACAUUGCUUUCUAUCAAUAUCAUCUCACAAGUAUAAUGACAAGUGAAAGAUACUAGGUAUGAACAUUUAUGUAGUAUUCAAAAGCAGAUAAGUUUAUUACCCUGUCAGAAGAUAGCAAAAUGAUUAACUUUAUGAAGGUUUCAAGCACUUAGUUUGAGGGAAGGCAGGAUAGGCAGUUUCAUGAGAAAGGUAUGUCCCAUCUCUUGAUCAGGGUGAAGUUUAAAUGGAGUUGUUUCCUUGAUGAUGCAUCAAAGUCACCACUUGAAAUUUGAUUACUUUUUAAUAUAUGCUAUACUUCAAAAUGUUUAUUAACAUGCAAAUCAUAUAAUGAAUUCCAUUAAUUUAGUGAGAGAAAUUUUUUUUAUAUGCUUCGAAGUCAUUUGUUUUGUUGUUUGCGUUUACUCAGAACAGUGUGUCAAUCUCCUUGACUGAUAUUUCUAUUGUUUCUAGCAGGUCAUUUAAUAGUUUAUAAUGUUUAUAUUUUCAAAGUUUAUUGGGGUGUAAUUUAUUUAUAAUACUGUACAUAUUUAAAGUUCAAAAUAAGUUAAGCCUUAACAUGUAUAUACAGCCAUGAACACAUAACCAUAAAGUAGGUCCUAAAUAUAUUCACCACUCACAAAUGUUUCCUUGUGAACCUUUGUCAUUCCACCCGCCCUUACUUCUUCCGCAUAAUCUCCAUCUAUAGCAACUACCAAUCUAUUUUCUGUUAUUAUAAAUUAAUGUGCAUUUUCUGGAAUUUUAUAUAAAUGGAAUCAUAUCAUAUGUACUUUGUUUUGUCUUGUUUUUUCAGUAAAAUUAUUUUGAGAUUCAUACAUGUUGUUACAUGUAUCAAUAGUUCAUUACUUUUUAUUGUUGAGUAGUAUUUCAUCAUAUGGAUAUGCCACAAUGUGUUCACACCUUAACAUAAAUUUGUCAAUGUAGUUUCCAGUCAUUGGUUAUUAAAUAUAAAGUUUCUUGAAAACUGAUCUAUAAGUAUUGAUAUGGAAUGUGAUUUCUUUUCUCUUGGGUAAAUUCCUGGAAGAAAAUUGGUUCUAUCAAAUGGUGUUUGCAUGUUUAACAGUUAUAGCCAAACCAUUUUCCAAAGUGGUUGUAAUAUUUUACAUUCCUCACAGCAGUGUAUGAGAAAUCAAAUUGUUCCAAAAGUUUGCUAAGACUUGUACAUUUAGAUGUAUCACCAAUUUUGGGUAAAUUUUUGUACUAAUUGUGAGUUGCAAUUGAGGUUCACUUUUUUAUAUGGAUACUCCUUUUUUUACACAAUACAUGUUGAAAGCAUCACCUUGUAUUAAUUGAACUGCCUUUGCAUCUUAUUAAAAUCAGUUUCAAUAUAUGUGAGGUUCUAUUUCUGAACUCUAUUCUCUGUUACAUUGAUUUAUGUGAACACUUUUUCACUGAAGCCACACUAUUUUGAGAACUGUAGUCUUGAAAUUGAGUAUUGGUAAUCCUCUAAAUGUGUUUGUUUUUAUAAAAAUUGUUUUGGCUAUUUAGAUCACUUUGCCAUUCAAAUAAAAUUUAAAAUCUGCUUGUUGAUAGCUACAGAAAAGUUACUGGCAUUUUAACUAGGAAUACAUUAAACUUAUAGAUAAGAUUGAGGAGAAUUGCCAUUUUAUUCUUCCAAUUAAUGGCUAUAUUACAUG
rnacentral:lncRNA from 10 species